CACUUUUUACAUCUGUUAUGGGUAUCCUUAUACAAAUUGUCCAUCCAUAUUAGUACGAAGCCGAAAUGUCAAGUCCAUAACCCAUAUGCUUUUAGCCAAAAAGAAAAAAAUAAAAAAAAGAAAAAGAAAAAAAAAGGUGAAAACAUGAUUCACCAUCUUCACCUCCAUCCUUCUCCUUCGACUGGUUUAAGGCACAAGAACCAAGAAAACAAAAACUCAACACCUCCCUCUCCUUCCUUCUUCUUCGUCUAAUUCAACACAUAAACCAAUAUUUUGCAACACCAAAAAUCUCAGCUUUGUCAGCAAUAAUGGAAUUAGGGGCAAAUUUUUCUUCAAAAGCUAAACUCACCCAUCCACCAUUAGAUUCUGACCGAAAAUCCUUCCUAUAAAUACUGAACUCUCUCACCCAAAUGACUCAAGCAAACAAUUCAAAAAGACUCCGAUUUCGUAGACGAGGAAUACCAGGAGCACUAAUACGUUCGUGAACUUAACUUUUGGGCACGCGUCACGAGGUGGGUGAUCGAUCGGGGGAACAAAAGGGAGAUCAUUUAGAGUUGUCAUCCACUUAGCAUAUGAUUAGCUUUUGCUAGAACUCUGAAAGACUUAAUUAAUUAGUAAUGUUCAAUGAACGAAUCACUUGGUUGUAAGGAUUAAUGAAUUUGAGUUUAGUUUGUUUUUAAAUUUAGCCUUGCAUUUAUUUCCAAGGAGAUAAGUGCGGCGGUAGCGCCACAUGUCGAGUCGAACCCUCGUGGACUUUCCUCCCUCAA